rnacentral:misc_RNA from 1 species
UCAAACUUGGUCAUUUAGAGGAAGUAAAAGUCGUAACAAGGUUUCCGUAGGUGAACCUGCGGAAGGAUCAUUAAAGAAUUAAAAUUUGGCGGAUUAACGGCUGGCUUUCGAGCAUUUGUGCAGUGUCUGUCAUUUUUAUUAUUUCCACCUGUGCACCUAUUGUAGACUAUGGACGUGAAAAGGAUCAACUUUCCAAGGAUAUUUUAAUAAACUUGGGUUUGAGGUUUGCAGGAUUCGAAAGAGUUCAGCUCUCCUUGAUCGAUCGAGAGUAGCGUUCAGAAAUCUAUGUUUUUCAUAUACACCUUAUAAAAAGUAAUAGAAUGUCGAGUUAUAGGGUCAUUGUACCUAUAAUAAAAGUUUAUACAACUUUCAGCAACGGAUCUCUUGGCUCUCGCAUCGAUGAAGAACGCAGC